rnacentral:rRNA from 1 species
GGCAAAAGCUCAAAUUUGAAAUCUGGCGUUUUUGGCGUCCGAGUUGUAAUUUGAAGAAGGUAUCUUUGGGCCCGGCUCUUGUCUAUGUUCCUUGGAACAGGACGUCACAGAGGGUGAGAAUCCCGUGCGAUGAGAUGACCCGGGUCUGUGUAAAGUUCCUUCGACGAGUCGAGUUGUUUGGGAAUGCAGCUCUAAGUGGGUGGUAAAUUCCAUCUAAAGCUAAAUAUUGGCGAGAGACCGAUAGCGAACAAGUACAGUGAUGGAAAGAUGAAAAGAACUUUGAAAAGAGAGUGAAAAAGUACGUGAAAUUGUUGAAAGGGAAGGGCUUGAGAUCAGACUUGGUAUUUUGCAUGCUGCUCUCUCGGGGGCGGCCGCUGCGGUUUACCGGGCCAGCAUCGGUUUGGAGCGGCAGGAUAAUGGCGGAGGAAUGUGGCACGGCUUCUGCUGUGUGUUAUAGCCUCUGACGAUACUGC